rnacentral:rRNA from 1 species
GACGAACGCUGGCGGCGUGCUUAACACAUGCAAGUCGAACGGAAAGGCCCUGCUUUUGUGGGGUGCUCGAGUGGCGAACGGGUGAGUAACACGUGAGUAACCUGCCCUUGACUUUGGGAUAACUUCAGGAAACUGGGGCUAAUACCGGAUAGGAGCUCCUGCUGCAUGGUGGGGGUUGGAAAGUUUCGGCGGUUGGGGAUGGACGCGCGGCUUAUCAGCUUGUUGGUGGGGUAGUGGCUUACCCAGGCUUUGACGGGUAGCCGGCCUGAGAGGGUGACCGGCCACAUUGGGACUGAGAUACGGCCCAGACUCCUACGGGAGGCAGCAGUGGGGAAUAUUGCACAAUGGGCGGAAGCCUGAUGCGGCAACGCCGCGUGCGGGAUGACGGCCUUCGGGUUGUAAACCGCUUUCGCCUGUGACGAAGCGUGAGUGACGGUAAUGGGUAAAGAAGCACCGGCUAACUACGUG